UACAGAGGUGGCAAGCGUUGUUCGGAAUUAUUGGGCGUAAAGAGCUCGUAGGCGGUUUGUCGCGUCUGCUGUGAAAUCCCGAGGCUCAACCUCGGGUCUGCAGUGGGUACGGGCAGACUGGAGUGCGGUAGGGGAGAAUGGAAUUCCUGGUGUAGCGGUGGAAUGCGCAGAUAUCAGGAGGAACACCGAUGGCGAAGGCAGUUCUCUGGGCCGUAACUGACGCUGAGGAGCGAAAGCGUGGGGAGCGAACAGG
rnacentral:rRNA from 1 species